UUUUUUUUUUUGAGAUAGGGUCUCACUAUGUCUCCCUCAGUAGAGUGCAGUGGCAUCAGAGCUCACAGUAACCUCAAACUCCUGGGCUUAAGCGAUUCUCUUGCCUCAGCCUCCGGAGUAGUUGGGACUACAGGCACCUGCCACAAUGCCAAGCUAUUUUUUGGUUGCAAAUGUCAUUGUUUACCAGGCCCAGGCAGGGCUGGAACCUGCCAGCUUCGAUGUAUGUGGCUGGUGCCCUACUCAUUAAGCUAUGCGCGCUGAGCCAGCAAAUCCAAAAUUUAAUCCCAAAACUAUCUGGUUCUUUCUAGACAUGUAAGGGAGAGGGAAAAGCAAUGUCUAGCUUCUUGUCAAUAGGAACAGCAUUAUUACUAGAACUGUACUAUCCAAGAGUCAUAGGUGACCAUUUAAUUAAAGGUUAAAAUUCAGCUCCUCAGCCAUACCAGCCACAUUUUAAGUGUUCUGUAGCCACAUAUGGCUAGUGGCUAUGGUAUUAGACCGCACAGAUAUGGAACACUAUCAUCAUCACAAUAAAUCCUAUUGGCAGUGCUAGUCUAGGACACCUUCCCCUCCAAAUCUGAGCAACCCAAGGGAUGCUGUUGUCUUUUUAGUCAAAGGGAUAACUUAAGGUGUGCCAUUCCUUUCUCCCUCUUCACUGCCCCUCCCCGAUCCAGGAGCUGCAGGGAUAUGUGACAGCUUACUCUUUUGACCAUAACAUUCCUCCUGCCAAGGAUAGUUCUUUACCAAACUCAAACCAUUUUUAAAAAGUAAAAGGUCCCAGACAGUGUGGCUCACAACUGUAAUCUAACACUCUGGGAGGCCAAGGCAGGAGGAUUCCUUGAAGCCAGGAGUUAGAGACCAGCCUGAGCAAAAGUGAAACCUCAUCACUACUAAAAAUAGAAAAAUUGGCUGGGCAUAGUAGCAGGCACCUACAGUCCCAGCUCCUCGGGAGGCUGCGGCAAGAGAGUGGCUUAUGGCCAGGAGUUUGAUUUUUUUUUUUUUUUGCAGUUUCUGGCAGGGGCUGGGCUUGAACCCGCCACCUCUGGCAUAUGGGGCCAGCACCCUACCCCUUUGAGCCACAGGUGCCACCCUGGCCAGGAGUUUGAGGUUGCAGUGAGCUACGAUGAUGCCACUGCACUAUAGUCCAGGUGGAAGAGCUAGACUUUGUCUCAAAAAUAAAAAUUAAAAAAGGUUUCAGAUGGGGCGAUGCCUGUGGCUCAGUGGGUAGGGCACCAGCCCCAUAUACUGAGGGUGGCAGGUUUGAACCCGGUCCUGGCCAAACUGCAACAAAAAAAGUAGCCAGGCGUUGUGGCGGGUGCCUGUAGUCCCAGCUCCUCAGGAGGCUGAGGCAAGAGAAUAAUUACCUAAGCCCAGAAGUUAGAGGUUGCUGUGAGCUGCAAUGCCACAGCACUCUACUGAGGGUGAUAAAGUGAGACUCGGUCUCUAAAAGAUUUCAAAUGUGUCCCCCACUCCUGCCAAGUCCCAGCUAGGUCUGCUCUCUCCCUUGGCCAGUACAUUGGUGUCUGCUCAGCAGCUACCUCUCUGGGCAGCUGUGCCCAGCAAGUCCUGGGGCCAGGCACUGGGACACUAAAGCUACCCAAGGAGGUGGGCCACCUUGCCAACUGGCUUGAAGUUCAUGUUGCUUGUCAAAGGACAACCAUUUCCCAAGUACUGGAGUCAUUUUUGCUGCAAUCUGCACCUUAUAAAGGCACACAAGGAUGGUGCAGGAAGUUCCAGGAGCCUCAGCUCCACCAAGCCCACAUCGCCUGCUGUAAGCUUAGCCACACCCCACUGAAGACCACCACUUACCUGGCCAUGGACAGGAUAUAAAUCUCUAAGAUCUUGAUUUGUUCAUGGGUGCUUUUUGUUCCCCUACACAACCACCUUAAUCUCAGCAUGCUCUAGAGCAGCGGUUCUCAACCUUCCUAAAGCUGCGGCCCUUUAAUACAGUUCCUGUGGGUUGCGACCCACAGGUUGAGAACCGCUGCUCUGGACUAUUUGGAAUUGUAAAACACUAGGGUAAGACUGACUUCCUUGUUAUUGAUUUUAUGACAUGCCUCUUUCUAAAUAUUCUCUGACCCAGUUUUAUCUCUAUGUUUUUUGAGACAGAGUCUCAAGCUGUCACCCUUGAUAGAAUGCUGUGAUGUCACAGCUCACAGCAACCUCAAACUCUUGGGCUUAAGCGAUUUCUCUUGCCUCAGCCUCCCAAGUAGCUAGGACUACAGGCACCCAUCAUAACACCUGGCUAUUUUUUUGUCGCAGUUGUCAUUGUUGUUUAGCUGUCCCAG